rnacentral:rRNA from 1 species
GGACUACUGGGGUAUCUAAUCCUGUUUGCUCCCCACGCUUUCGUGCCUCAGUGUCAGUAUUAGGCCAGGUAGCCGCCUUCGCCACUGGUGUUCCUUCCGAUCUCUACGCAUUUCACCGCUACACCGGAAAUUCCACUACCCUCUCCCAUACUCCAGUCUAACAGUCUUAUCUGACCACCCCAGGUUAAGCCCGGGAAUUUCACAGAUAACUUAUCAAACCACCUACGCACCCUUUACGCCCAGUAAUUCCGAUUAACGCUCGCACCCUCCGUAUUACCGCGGCUGCUGGCAC